rnacentral:rRNA from 1 species
UACGUAGGGGGCUAGCGUUAUCCGGAAUUACUGGGCGUAAAGGGUGCGUAGGUGGUUUCUUAAGUCAGAGGUGAAAGGCUACGGCUCAACCGUAGUAAGCCUUUGAAACUGAGAAACUUGAGUGCAGGAGGGGAGAGUAGAAUUCCUAGUGUAGCGGUGAAAUGCGUAGAUAUUAGGAGGAAUACCAGUUGCGAAGGCGGCUCUCUGGACUGUAACUGACACUGAGGCACGAAAGCGUGGGGAGCAAACAGGAUUAGAUACCCCUGUAGUCCCUGAGCGGG